AUACUUACCUGGCACAGGAGAUACCGUGAUCAUAAAGGCGGUUUUCCCAGGGCGAGGCCUGCCAUUGCACUCCGGCGGUGCUGACCCUUGCGAUUAACCCAAAUGUGGUUAACUCGAGUGCGAAAUUUUGUUAGCGGGAUUGCGUUCGCGCAUCCCCUCA
rnacentral:snRNA from 1 species